rnacentral:rRNA from 1 species
UAGGGAAUCUUCGGCAAUGGGGGGAACCCUGACCGAGCAACGCCGCGUGAGUGAAGAAGGUUUUCGGAUCGUAAAGCUCUGUUGUUAAGGAAGAACGAGUGUGAGAAUGGAAAGUUCAUGCUGUGACGGUACUUAACCAGAAAGGGACGGCUAACUACGUGCCAGCAGCCGCGGUAAUACGUAGGUCCCGAGCGUUGUCCGGAUUUAUUGGGCGUAAAGCGAGCGCAGGCGGUUAGAAAAGUCUGAAGUGAAAGGCAGUGGCUCAACCAUUGUAGGCUUUGGAAACUGUUUAACUUGAGUGCAGAAGGGGAGAGUGGAAUUCCAUGUGUAGCGGUGAAUUGCGUAGAUAUAUGGAGGAACACCGGUGGCAAAAGCGGCUCUCUGAUCUGUAACUGACGCUGAGGCUGGAAGGCGUGGGGAGCGAACAGG